UACGUAGGGGGCAAGCGUUGUCCGGAAUCAUUGGGCGUAAAGAGCGCGUAGGCGGCCCUGUAAGUCCGCUGUGAAAGUCGGGGGCUCAACCCUCGGAUGCCGGUGGAUACUGUCGGGCUUGAGUACGGAAGAGGCGAGUGGAAUUCCUGGUGUAGCGGUGAAAUGCGCAGAUAUCAGGAGGAACACCAAUUGCGAAGGCAGCUCGCUGGGACGUUACUGACGCUGAGGUGCGAAAGCGUGGGGAGCAAACAGG
rnacentral:rRNA from 1 species